UACGGAGGGUGCAAACGUUGCUCGGAAUCAUUGGGCGUAAAGCGCACGUAGGCGGUCCAGCAAGUCGGGUGUGAAAGCCCUCGGCUUAACCGAGGAAGUGCAUUCGAAACUAGUGGACUUGAAUACUGAAGAGGAUCGCGGAAUUCCCGGUGUAGAGGUGAAAUUCGUAGAUAUCGGGAGGAACACCGGUGGCGAAGGCGGCAUUCUGGACCGAUAUUGACGCUGAGGAGCGAAAGCCAGGGGAGCAAACGGG
rnacentral:rRNA from 1 species